GACAUAGGUGCCGAGCGUUAGGCGGAAUCACUGGGCUUAAAGCGUGUGUAGGCGGAUGGGUAAGUACCUUGUGAAAUCCCACGGCUCAACCGUGGAACUGCUCGGUAUACUGCUCGUCUUGAGCCAACUAGGGGCGACCGGAACAAACGGUGGAGCGGUGAAAUGCGUAGAUAUCGUUUGGAACGCCGAUGGUGAAAACAGGUCGCUGGGGUUGUGCUGACGCUGAGACACGAAAGCCAGGGGAGCGAACGGG
rnacentral:rRNA from 1 species